UUCUUUUCUUCUUCUUCUUUCUUCUUCUCUUUUCCUUUCUUUAUUCGUUCUUCUGCCGGUUUCAUCGAGGGUUAGUGAUAGAAUUAGUCGAAGGCAGUUAGUUGAUGAGUGGGUUUGGAUGAUGGAGGAGAUGGUGUAGUGGUAAUUCAUUAAGAAAAUCAAUUAGAAGUUGACGAAUUAGAACAGAGAGAACCAAGUUAGGGUUUUGGUGAUUAUGUUGGUUUCUUAAGAAUAUUGAUGAGUAAUUUGGGUUGUUGUUAGAUGGAGAGUGAACGGGUUGUAGUUUAAUUGAAGUUCUGAAGUUAUUGGAGAUAAAUUGAGAAAUUAGGGUUUCAUAAUAUGAACUCAAAGAAGGAUUAGAAGAUGAAAGUAAGGUUCUAAUAGAUUGAUUAGAGAUAGGGUGUUGAUUGAUUUGAAGAUUUGAAUGGAAGUAUUAGGUUUGAUUGAGAGAAGCGAAGAUUGGAAUUUGAAUUAGGGAUCCUGUGGAUAAAAAAAUUAGGGAUUUGGAAUUCGUUUUAAUGAUACUAAGAAGGAAUUGAAGAUGGGUUUUCCCUGAAUUAGAAUAAGGUUGAAGAAAUUGAUAACUGGGGUUAUGAUUCUGUUGGAGUGAAGAUUUUAGGAAUUGGCUGUGAUGAACUGUGGUUUAAGGGUUAGACGGUGAUGAGCUGAGUCGAAUCAAUCUAAAUAAGGAGUUGAUUUCAAUUGGGGGAGAAAGUCUUUUGAGAUAUUAGUGGUGGUUAUGUGUUGCUGUGAACAAUAAAGGACUUGAUUGUUAUGGUGUUGCAGGUGAUGUUGAGUUAAGAAUUGUUAUGGAGGUGAACUGUAAUGAGUGAAGAUGAGGAUUGUGUUAGAGUGGAGUGUAUGGUUGUGGUAAUGGAGUUGAAAUGAACUUGGAGGUAAUGGAACUGAACUGGUGGUGUUGACCGUUUUAAAGUAAUGAUACUGCAUUGAACUGUUGGAAUGAGAAGUGUGAUGGUUUGGUACGGUAAUGAAGGGUAUAUAGUUGUGAGUUGAAUUGGUGGUUUUGAUGACUUGUAUUGAUGAAUCUAAGGUUGGGCUUAGUUUAUUAGUGAUUAUAAAAUUGUAGAUUGUAUUCACGUGAAAGUUUGGAAGCUUGCAACUACUGCAAUUGCAGAUAGAUAUUGAUAUUGAUGUUGUAAAUGAUUUAUGAAGUUUAAGUUAAGCUUAUGUAUUGUUGUAUUGAUUGAUUGUUAGAACUGAUUUGAGAUA